rnacentral:rRNA from 1 species
AUGCGACUCAAGUGGCUCGGCCUCUUCCUCAGCCGCAAGCAGCAGUGUAUGCCCCUGCUCUGUCAAGCAGCAGCAACAACAGAGGCGGGGGCGGGGAAUACCAGCAGCAACAGAGGCGAGGGCGGGCGCGACCUUCGGAGGAGGGCCAACACGGAGAGGAAGACCCUGGGCUUGGAGGAGAGGUUGAGCAGGGCCAACGCGGCGAUGAAGACCCUGGGCCAGAGCAGCGACGAAGACCCAGCGCCGCGACGGCGUCCAAAAUUGUCCGCGGCGACGGCGGCCAAGGCGGACCAUAUCGAGGACCUAGUCGUCGAUUUACUGCUUCUUGGCACGAUUCAGAGGGAGGUGACGAAGAGGAAGAACUUUAGGAGCAAUCCCGCUGCUCAGGUAGGCGAGGGCACACCCAUGGCGGCUGCGCAGCUGGGCGGCGGCGCAAGGCGCCUCCGUGAAGGUCCUGCGCGUCUCCUCCGCGACGACGCAGGUCGUCUACUGCACAGGCGGCUGGGUCCUGCGACGCGCGGAGACUCUCUCUGGGUGCUGAGGAGAACGGAGGAGGAAGACGGGGGAUGGUGGCCGGAGCCGGCGACGCGCGAGCGACGGUGGAGUAGUGAGGAAGGAGACGAGGGCGUUUUUUCAAAUGAUUCAAAAGUAUAA